GAGCUGAAGUUGGCUGCUCAACUGUCUGAGCCACCCAGGCUCCCUGAUGCUUAAUUUAGAAAAGACAAUUAUGAGCAAAAUUCACAAGUAAUAUAUGAAGCAAGAUGGAGUUUGUCAUCUGGUGGCCAGGAAAAUAAAGAAUUCUUGCCAGUAUCCAAAUGUCCCAUCUGGUAGUUGGUCAUGACUCUGUGCUUUCACAUGUUACCACAAUUGGGGGUGCAUCCAAAUCUCUGAAUGUGAGGAAAAUGGGAUUCAAAAACGUAGAGAAGUUGGCAAGUGCAGCACAAACUGGAAUCUGAGUAACUGGACUCCCACUUACCUGUUUUUAUGUCUUUCACUGCUACCAGAUUGUGAUGCGUGGAGUGUUUGGGAGAAGAGGGAAUGAUUAUAGUCCAUGUUCUUAGAUCAGGAUAGUUUGUGAAAAGGCAGUUUCUUUUUUGUUGGCAUGCAGUGAUAAGAGCCAUUUACCUGAAAAAUAUUGUUUUCCUCAUUGUUAGCGAAUAAAAUUUGAAUUUUAUGAUG